GGGCCGGUAGCUCAGCGGUACGAGCACCCGGUUCGCACCCGGGAGGUCGCGGGUUCGAAUCCCGCCCGGUCCA
rnacentral:tRNA from 1 species